GACGAACGCUGGCGGCGUGCUUAACACAUGCAAGUCGAACGGAAAGGCCCUGCUUGCAGGGUACUCGAGUGGCGAACGGGUGAGUAACACGUGGGUGAUCUGCCCUGCACUUCGGGAUAAGUCUGGGAAACUGGGUCUAAUACCGGACAGGUGCCAUUUUUAGUGUGAUGGUUGGAAAGUUUUUUCGGUGUGGGAUGAGCCCGCGGCCUAUCGGCUUGUUGGGGGGGUAAUGGCCUACCGAGGCGGCGACGGGUAGCCGGACUGAGAGGGUGGGCGGCCACAUUGGGACUGAGGGGCGGCCCAGGCAGCUACGGGGGGGAGAGGUGGGGAAGAUUGAACGAGGGGCGCAAGCCGGGUGCAGCGGCUCCGCGGGGGGGAUGACGGCCUUCGGGUUGAAAACUCCUUUCGCUAGGGACGAAGCUUGUUGUGACGGUACCUAGAGAAGAAGCACCGGCUAACUACGUG
rnacentral:rRNA from 1 species